ACGACAUGAUGGGGACAUUUUUGGAUGAGAUCCUUUAAUCUAUCCCAUGAUUCAUGGAACUGCUCACUAUCAUGCUGUGAAAAGCUAGUGAGAGCUCGCCUUAUCUG
rfam:Cephalotus follicularis DNA, scaffold: scaffold3950, isolate: St1.